ensembl:lncRNA
UGUAGAACCUGUUCUACAACUUACGUUGCCAUUGUGGUUGAAAAACGACAUGCCAGAACUUGUUGCAAUCCAGUCUCAACAAAGAGCUUGUCUGAUGCUUGCAGGUGUCGAUGGGGUUGCUCAACAAGACGAAUGGACCACUGAAGCCUCCUGACAAAUCUGUGUCCUGUGGCUUUUGGACAAACCAGUUCCUCCAGUGAAGUCAUUUGGAAUAUGAACAAUACCUUUAAGGAUCAACCGAACUCAUAGAACUGCAUGAAAGUCAUCCUGGCUAAUGUGGAGGAAAAGAUGGGUUUUCAUUAUAAAAUGGUGGCCAUUGGUGAUAUUCACACGGUGGUUUUUUUACAGCAUGUGAAGGAAAAAUGCAAAUUGCGUGUUCAGCUGAUGUUAAUCAGUCCCCUUGCUAAAACAUAGGGGUGAAGAUGUGGAGAUAAAAGCCUGAUGAUGUAGAAGUAUGUGUCGUAUUACUGGCCAGCAUAGAGUGUUGGACAUCCACAUUUUCUUCAAAAACAACUUGAAAGCAGAAAAAAAAUUCCCAGGCCAGACUGUCUCUUCGGGUUCAGUAUCAGAGUAAUACUGCUGAGUGGAAUGCAGAGAUUGUGUAUGGGAAUGGAAGAUUUCCGAUGCCCCCCAACCCAGCUCCUGGUGUGGUCGUAGCAGCAGUGCCCAGAUGGAGUCCUGAUGCUCUGUGGCUGCUGAUGGCGGCUGUUGGUGUCUUGAUCCUGCUGGUGGCGCCUUUGGUCCUGAAUGCAGUUCAUUAUUAAUUGUCAAUUGCUAUCAGUUGGCAACUUUUCAAUCACACUUUUCAUCAAUUCGGUCUUUUUGUAUUUCAAUAACUGAAAUUUCUUAGUGUGUCUCCUGCAGUGCUUCAGAUUGCUUAUAUCUAUAGAAUCCUUAAUAUUUUUUUAAAUGUUGAUCCCCUUUUGCAAUAAAAAAUAAAUUAAAAGGGUUAAAAUAUGAUUUAAAGUAAAAGAUUGAGUGAGAUUAAACUGGACUGUCAGUACUCACUCUAAAAAAAGUAGUUCAAUCUGGGAUUUCAUGCUGCAGAAAAUCACUGAUGACUAUCUUUGCUCUGGACAGCAUGUCAAUUAGGAAUCCUAAGGUAAUAAUUACACAUCAUUAGAGCUCACAGAUCAGUGUAGAAAGAGCUAGUAUGAAAUAAAAGAUUGAUUGCUACUGGUAGACAAUCAGUGGCACCAGUCUGUGUGUUGUAUUGUUUGGAUAGAGGAACAAAAAAAAUGGACAGGGUGUAAUUUUUGACCUAUUAGUAUAAAAUAGUUUACAAACUGUAUCAAAGCUACGUGUUAAUGGAUCCAUCCCCACCUACAGUAUUGGCUACAUGCUGUUCAAUGAUUCCAGGCAGUUACUGAAUCUAUUUUGAACAGUAAAAUAAAGCGACAAAACAAACUACAUUUAAAACAUCUAGUAUUUUAAAAAGUGUCUUGAUUCUUGAGUGUGUUUCAUCCACAGUGGAGAACAAAACUAGUGAUGGAUGGUGGUAAAUCAGGUCCAAGAAAAAUUCAGAAAACCAAAGAUUCUUUGCUUUUUUUUGGUUUUGUUUGCAGUGUUUUUCUAUGUUUACCAGUAUAAUUGUCUUUACACAUACAGUAUUGUAUCAUUUCCAGCAAACAAUAAACUGUAAAGCCUGUUGAUUUUGUUUGUACUAAUUUGUUUGUUUGUUCGAUUAACCCUAGGUGGGUGGUACAUGUCAAACAUCCACAUGAAUGUCAGGACUCAAGGUUUCCCAGCAGAACAUUGUAUUAUAACAACAUGAUUGAUGUUGUUCACUUCACCUGUCAGCGGUCAUAAUGUUGUGGCUGAUCAGUGUACAUGAUAUUUACAAGUGGAUGCAAACGUUUGUUAACAACUGUAUAUAAUCACAUGGUUCUCCUUCCUAUUCUCUGCCAUUUUGUUAGAGAUACAUUUGUAUUUUCUCACACAUGGCUCCUUCAGGUGAUGUCUGGAAAAGUUCAGGGCUGCAGUUCAUGUGUGAAAAUGGUUCAGCAGCAAGGAUUAAAGUGAAAAACAGAACUGGCACACGCCCAGAACCCAUAAUGGAAAGGUACCACAUAGUCAAUAUUCUUAGCGUUUACCUUUAUACAAUUGUUGUAAACUAAUGUCAAUGCUCGUUCCAUUUGUUUCACCUUUUCUACUUCUCCUCCUGUUUUUUUCCCACAGAUCUCUGCUGAUCAACAUAUAAUUGUGGGACUUUUUGUAUCAUAGUUGACAUUUUUGCUGUUUUCAGGCCUAAAAUCAACAUGGCCGCCUAUAACCAAACAUCACAUGGUAUUUUACAGAAAGAUUCUUCUAAAUAUUAUAUAUACAAUUGAGUUAAAUUGAAAUUGAAAGUUAGUAGUAAAGAUAUUGUAGUAAACCUGUUGACAUGCCAUAAAUCCACACUUGACUCACACACUACUUUAUAUUAAAUAACUCAGAAAGCCUUGGAGUCUUGUCAGUCUUUUCUUCAGGAGGAAAUGACAUCAUGUGGAGCAGGUCAUGUGAUCUGGAAUUAACACACUUCAGGUGUUUUUGUAAUAGUUGAAAAUGAUUUCUCUGACAUAGACACAAUUGUUAUUUUCCAUAUAAAAUUUGAUAUAUUGCCAAAAAAGAAACAUC